rnacentral:rRNA from 1 species
UUAAAUUGAAGAGUUUGAUCAUGGCUCAGAUUGAACGCUGGCGGCAGGCCUAACACAUGCAAGUCGAGCGGUAACACAGGAGAGCUUGCUCUCUGGGUGACGAGCGGCGGACGGGUGAGUAAUGUCUGGGAAACUGCCCGAUGGAGGGGGAUAACUACUGGAAACGGUAGCUAAUACCGCAUAACGU